GACGAACGCUGGCGGCGUGCUUAACACAUGCAAGUCGAACGGAAAGGCCCUGCUUUUGUGGGGUGCUCGAGUGGCGAACGGGUGAGUAACACGUGAGUAACCUGCCCUUGACUGUGGGAUAACUUCUGGAAACUGGGGCUAUUACCGGAUAUGAGCUCCUGCUGCAUGGUGGUGGUUGGAAAGUUUCGGCGGUUGGGGAUGGACUCGCGGCUUAUCAGCUUGUUGGUGAGGUAGUGGCUUACCAAGGCUUUGACGGGUAGCCGGCCUGAGAGGGUGACCGGCCACAUUGGGACUGAGAGACGGCCCAGAAUCCUACGGGACGCAGUAGUGGGGAAUAUUGCACAAUGGGCGGAAGCCUGAUGCAGCAACGCCGCGUGCGGGAUGACGGCCUUCGGGUUGUAAACCGAUUUCGCCUGUGACGAAGAGUGAGUGACGGUAAUGGGUAAAGAAGCACCGGCUAACUACGUG
rnacentral:rRNA from 1 species